ACUGCCGCAACAAAGAGAUGAGAAGCGUGGUUCUCAGCACGUCAGUAACCGAUGUUGCUAUUCAUUUCAUGAACUCCAGACAAACACUCUCACGCUUGCAGGAAAAAAAAUAGCAAGACAGAAGAUGAACCAACUGGACAUUCAAGAACAUGUACUGAUGAUCAAGUCGAGCAGAAGCAGAUCAAAUUAGCCCGAAGAAAGGAACAUAUUGAUGUGCUCGGGUUAGCCAGCUAAAGAAAAUUUUUAGGCCUUCGCUGUUUUUCAUCUCGACUAGAAAGUUCAAACACCGAAUGACCUGGCCCACGAAUUGAGAGGAUGAAAUCUCAUCAACCAUAGAGAACAAAGAAGGGCUUGAUUGACGAGCGUCUGCAUGAUGCCCGUGUGGAACAUCCAAGAACAGAGCAAAGGAAAGCACAAAAGUGGCUGGUUGUGUUCAGAUUCAUGUCUAAAAAAACACUCAAGGGCAUUCCAUUUCCAAAAGGAUGUUGAUGGGCUCUCAGACCAUAAUUGAGAUAUAUCCGCACAAAACAGGAACAGUAACAGAGAAUGGCAACCACUGAGCCAUAACAAGAACAGAGGAAAAAAAAUUGAGGGCCAAAGGAUUAGCAGUAAGGGGGACAACUUUCAAAAGAUGAAGAUGAGAAACGCAUGUUAACAUCACGAGACAAAUAUAAGAAAAAAUACUAUUGGUUGAGUGUGCUCCAAUAAAACGACAACUGAAGAAACUUACUAAUCCCAACAAGGAAAAGUGAGAAGAGAUGACCAAGAUGAGAUGAACUUUUACAUCAAAAAUCAGAACUAUUGUAAGGUUCAGGAUGCAAAUCUGGUACAAAUCUCAAUUAAGAAGAAUAGGUACUAGAUUAACCUAAAAAAAAUGCUCCAUUGCCGCAUCAUCAGUAAUUUCAACAGGAAAUGGCAAAACACACUUGUAAAAUAAAUAAAUCCAAUAUCACUCAACAAAACACAAAGUAAGCCAAACAGACAGAUCCUAUUCCAUGCGUAACACAAAAACCAGCCCUGUUGUGAGUUUCCCGUAGCUUGACUAUAGGAGACAUCAGUCAAAGCGAUUUGACUUCCUCAGAGAGAAGAUCAAUCGACCAAGGAAAAUAAAAAGCCCCAUCAGCGGUCAUUAAACUGAAGAGGGUGUAGGUAAAUUUAGAGACAUCUCGUUAUCAUAUAAUUUACAUAGAAUUAGUAGCUUUCAAGCAUAAAUAAAAAUUAAAGUGGAUAUAGGACCCUGACCGAAAAUACCAUUCAAGGUGUUUCGAAGGUUUUAACGUAACGAAGCAUACGUCGAAACAUUUAGCAAGGCUGCCAUCAUGGCAGCGGAGGUCAGACGAUCAAUAAUUUCCCCACUAAAGGUACAACUUUUAAAACCAAAUAUAAAUAAUUCGUACAUACAAUAGAAUUGUGAAAAGAACGCCUACAGGACGGCCAUCAAAACAAUCGAAUUUCUUGCUACAAAAUCCCAGAGACAGAGCAGCGGAAUGACGCAACAGAGAAGAAAAAGGACGCAGACAGAAGCCUUCAGCUAGCCACCAUUCACGAUCAGUGCAAGAGAAAUACAUGUGGCGGUCAAGAUAGGGCAGAGACAACUGAUCCGACCAAGUCCUAAAAAAACCGUCAACCUAUUGACAUUAAACACAUCCAUCGGCCUGUCAAGAGAAGACAUCUCCAACCGCUACUCCGCCACUGAAAUAAUCACUCUACAUGUACAAAGAGCAAGAGGCCCCAUAUGAGACGGCAGGAGGAACGAAAUGGAACGAAUUCCUACGGCUAAGGCCAACUACAAAUGGAUCCAAGGCAAAACGAACUGCGGCCAAAUGCAGAUCAACGCAGCAUCUGGCAGAAGGAAGAAGGUCGCUGUACAAAAGAGAAAUCUCCUCGCAUCCACACUUAGGAAAAAGGAGACUUCAGCGUUCACCUCGAGCAAAAUGAAGUCACUGAACCCGGUCAGAUGGCUGCCAGAAUCCGUUCCGCAACCCCUCGAGAGGCGAACAGAACUAGAAAGGCGAAGCGGAGAAACUCAGCGUCGACAAGAGUACAUGGGAUAGAUAAACAACCAAGUGAACGAGAGAAAUAUCAGCGGGUCGAGAGUUAGCGAUCGAGGAGGGAUCGGAGAU
rnacentral:lncRNA from 1 species